rnacentral:rRNA from 1 species
AAUAUAUCGGAACGUGCCCAGUUGUGGGGGAUAGCUGCUCGAAAGAGCAGCUAAUACCGCAUACGACCUGAGGGUGAAAGCGGGGGAUCGCAAGACCUCGCGCAAUUGGAGCGGCCGAUAUCAGAUUAGCUAGUUGGCGGGGUAAAAGCCCACCAAGGCGACGAUCUGUAGCUGGUCUGAGAGGACGACCAGCCACACUGGGACUGAGACACGGCCCAGACUCCUACGGGAGGCAGCAGUGGGGAAUUUUGGACAAUGGACGCAAGUCUGAUCCAGCCAUGCCGCGUGCGGGAAGAAGGCCUUCGGGUUGUAAACCGCUUUUGUCAGGGAAGAAACGGGUUUCUCUAAUACAGAAGCCUAAUGACGGUACCUGAAGAAUAAGCACCGGCUAACUUCGUGCCAGCAGCCGCGGUAAUACGAAGGGUGCAAGCGUUAAUCGGAAUUACUGGGCGUAAAGCGCGCGUAGGUGGUUCAGCAAGUUGGAUGUGAAAGCCCUGGGCUCAACCUGGGAACUGCAUCCAAAACUACUGAGCUAGAGUACGGUAGAGGGUAGUGGAAUUUCCUGUGUAGCGGUGAAAUGCGUAGAUAUAGGAAGG